rnacentral:rRNA from 1 species
GUCUACAGCCAUGCCACCCUGAACAAGCCCGAUCCCAUCUGAUCUCGGAAACUAAGCAGGGUUGGGCCUGGUUAGUACUUGGCUAGGAAAUCACCUAGGAAGACCAUGUGCUGUAGGCG